UACGUAGGGUGCAAGCGUUAAUCGGAAUUACUGGGCGUAAAGCGUGCGCAGGCGGUUUUGCAAGACAGAUGUGAAAUCCCCGGGCUCAACCUGGGAACUGCCUUUGUGACUGCAUGGCUAGAGUGCGGCAGAGGGGGAUGGAAUUCCGCGUGUAGCAGUGAAAUGCGUAGAUAUGCGGAGGAACACCGAUGGCGAAGGCAAUCCCCUGGGCCUGCACUGACGCUCAUGCACGAAAGCGUGGGGAGCAAACAGG
rnacentral:rRNA from 1 species